rnacentral:lncRNA from 1 species
GCCAACAACUGUUGGAGAAUGACGUUAACCUCAGGCAUGGGAAUGCUACAUUUUCUAGGAUUUGACAUUUUCAGCAAUCGAGGAUUACUACACUUUAUAAAUGGAGAUACCUCUACUAAAAACAGAAUGCUAUAAACAGAAUGAUGUCUUUUGUUUCCAAAGUCAAUGUACAAGAGCAAUGCAAAAAUAAUAAUAAAAGAGAGAUUUCCUGGAAAAGUUAUCUCGGAGUAAACGCUACAGCCUCAAGUGCCACUCAGCCCCAAAGAAGAAUGCCAUGUUCUUGUUGUGGAAGGAGGCUGAAGGGUCCUGCUGAGAUUGUGUUUGGCUUGGCACAAAGUCCAGCGGGAAAAUGACCAGAG